UCGAACAUCAAAACAAUUUGCUUGAGUCAAUUCUCAAUAGGGUUCCAUUGUCUGACAAUUUCCACUUCCCAAAUCUUAGUUUACUGCUGAAGCUUUUAAUACUAGUCUAUUAAUAUAUCACAAGUCAAGAAACUGAUUCUUUUUCCGGCUAAGCAAACGAGGAAAAGAAGUGAAGAAAAAGAAAAGACACUCUUGUAAACACGAUCAAGACACACGUACCAUAGACUCCGAAUGCUAUCACAUAAUGCA
rnacentral:lncRNA from 1 species